AGGGGCUGGCUCCGAAGACGGAAGAGAACACUGGCCGGGAGAAGGGAGACGUGGACAAAAGGCGGGACUGGGGAGGGGCCUUUUGCUUGGGCCCUCCUCCGACCCGUGAACUUGCGACCCGGAGACUACCGGUCCCAGCGUGCACUGCUUCCUGCCCCGCGGUCCCUCGGUACGAGUCCGCCGGGCGAAAUUUCCACGCUGGGUGGGCGCGCUGCACCGUGGGACGUGUAGUCCUCCGAGGGUCACGGGAUUGGGGGAUCCAGCUGUCCCCGGCUCUCUGCGCCCAGCCCUUCCUCCAUGGGUCAGCUGUUUAUCCCUCCUGCCGCGAAUGACGUUUCCCUGAAGGCAGGCAGGAUGAAGCGGACACGUCCCCGGGUCGGAUCCGUACGCCUUAGGGAAUAGUGUUGGAGUAAUCCUCUGCCCUCAGGGAGAUUACAAAGCAACUGCAAAAAUGAAUGGAGCCUUUGUCGGCAGUGCGCUGAGAGUUUUACUUGCAUUCUCUCGUGUAGGUUGGUACACUCAGAUUUGUUGAAAAUAAAACAGCUCUGUAGAAAGCUUGAAAUGGCUUUUCUCGCUUGGAAGUGGAGUGCAGCGAUGAGUCUGGCGACCUGCAGGCGGAGCAGAGUUCUUCCUCCUCUCACUCCCCACAUUUAAAUGAAGACUCUGAAUCCACUUUCUUAGAUGAGUUACAUAAGCUGCACCUUGUUUUAGAGUUUCUUGCUGGGGAUGUUGGCAUUCACCUUCUCUACGUAUUCACAGUGUGGACGUCAUCGCCAGGUACAGUCAGUCGCAUUUAUCAAUGAUGGUCUAAGCCACCGUACCCAGGAUUUAGUCUUAGCUCAUGUGGUCAUAAACAUAAUUUUUAAUGACUGUUCUAUCAGUCCAGGUUCUUGGCUGCAAAUAACACUCUAAUUAAAAUUUUUAAUUAAUGUAAAUAUGUUAAAAUCUCAGAGGGCCCAAGAACCAGGCUUGAGGAAUAUACAUCCCAAAUGUUAGCACCAGGAUGCUUCAGGAAUUUAACUGCACCUUGACCUUGGAGUUGGGACACUUGCUGCUAGACCCUCUGUCACUGUCACUCUGAGAGCCGGAUGUCUCUAUGUCACGAUCCACCACCCUCAGCAGAAUAGAUUUUUCAUAAUUAUUGCCUUCUUACCUUUCUAUUGAAUCAAAAUUUGAAAAGAGUGAGUCUGAGUGGUGGAGCAUACCUCACAUCCCCAUACCCUAGCUGGAAGAGAAAGUAGAAGAAUAAAUUGGUGAUUCUAAUUUAGAAACAGAAAUUUUGCACACAUACGAAGGCCGUUUAUAACCUGUUAAGCAGAGAAAAAGUACAACGAAGUCCAAAACAAUUCUGUCAUGCUUUAUUAUAUAAAUGUUCCAUAAUAAAUUUAAUUCCCUAUCGUUGAAAACUUCGGCCAUUUAAGAAGAUAUUUUUUUAGUCAUGUUUAUUGAGGUAUAAUUUACACAUGACUAAAAUCCACCCUUUUCAGUUUACAGUUAUAUGAGUAUUAACAAAUGCAUUUAGUCACAGAGCAACCACCAUAAUUCAGGAUAUAAAUUUAGGAGGUGAACCAAAUUCCCUUACAUGCCACUUCACAGUCAAUCCCUCCCCGUCCCCCCAACUGCAGGCAACCAGUGAUCUUUUUUUUUUUUUUAAUGGCAAUAUUAGUUCACGCUAUCCAGUAAGUUUGCGGUGUACAAUUCAACAGUAAGGCAUAUAUAUUGCACUGUGUGUUCACCACCCGUAGUUAGAUUUCUUUCUGUCAACACAUAUUUGCCCCUUUUUAUCCCAUCUAUCUCCCCCGUCCCCCAAAUGAUCUAUUUUUAUCCCUUAGUUUUUCUUUUCCCAGCAUGUCAUGUAAAAGGAAGCAUAUAGUAUGUAUCCUCUAUUUGAGUAUGGCUUUUUUUACUCCGCCUAAUUAUUUUGAGACUCAUCCACAUUACUGCAUAUGUCAGUAGAACAUUCCUUUUUAUUGUCGAAUAGUAGGUUAUAUGGAUAUACCAGUUUAUCCAUUCACCAGCUGAAAGACAUAUGGGUUCUUUUCUAGUUUUUGACAGUUAUUAAUACAGCAACUGUAGACAUUGGCAUACAGGUUUAGUUGACUCCUCUCAAGAACCCCAUCAGUCCCAUCCAAGCCACAACAAAUAAACAUAUAAUCAAAGAAAAAACUAUGUAGAAGUAGUUUCAAAUCAACCCACUCACCUCCAAUUCCAACCUGAUUUUUGGCCCUAAAUAGAAGUUCUGGAGGAGCCUCUUGGGGAAUGAUUCUUACGUUUUGGAAAUUCUGUAUGAAAGGAGGAGAGGAAGUGAGGUUCGUGGCACACCAAGUGUCCUGUCACUGCCGAACUUGAUUUCUCCAGUGUUUCUUACUCUCUCCUCUGAAGCUGUUGGUGUAGGUGAGUGAAAGCUAAGAUGACAGACAAGGCUUAUGCAAGGCAAGGAAGCAAAUAUCCCUUCUGGGCUCUUCCUGGCCACAUUGACCCUACAAUUUUGAGUUUCCUGAUGCAGGGAUCAUGUCCACUGCGUUCACCUCUGCUUCGCCAGCACCUACGAGAGUGCCUGCAUAUAACAGAUACCCAAUUAUUAUUUUUUGGAUUAAUGAGUUCAUGGAUGAAUGAACUACUGUCAACAUUGGUGAGGAAAUAUGUGUUUAUUUAUAAUUAUAUCAAAGAAUGAGUGUUUCACUCAGUGUUACUCAUCGAAAAUCAAUUUGAACAGUAAUUCAAUUACGUCAAGAGUAAUUGCCCAUUGCUCUAUUAUGGACAUAGUCCAAUUCCUAGAGAAAUAAGCAUAUGCAUUUUCAAAGCAUAAUUACAUCUGACGUUAAGUGACUUCCCUGUGGGUUCCUUCCCAAUGACAGAAAAUUAAAAGUUCCAUAAUACAGUAACAGUGACUCACCUUUUCAUCUCCGAGGGUUGUUCCUUCCAGCUCAAGUCUGUCGUUUGCUUAAGAGAUGAAACCAGCCCCAUUACAAAUAAAGAUGACAUUUGGA